AUUGAACGCUGGCGGUAGGCCUAACACAUGCAAGUCGAACGGCAGCACAGUAAGAGCUUGCUCUUACGGGUGGCGAGUGGCGGACGGGUGAGGAAUACAUCGGAAUCUACUUUUUCGGGGGGGAUAACGUAGGGAAACUUACGCUAAUACCGCAUACGACCUACGGGUGAAAGCAGGGGAUCUUCGGACCUUGCGCGAUUGAAUGAGCCGAUGUCGGAUUAGCUAGUUGGCGGGGUAAGGGCCCACCAAGGCGACGAUCCGUAGCUGGUCUGAGAGGAUGAUCAGCCACACUGGAACUGAGACACGGUCCAGACUCCUACGGGAGGCAGCAGUGGGGAAUAUUGGACAAUGGGCGCAAGCCUGAUCCAGCCAUACCGCGUGGGUGAAGAAGGCCUUCGGGUUGUAAAGCCCUUUUGUUGGGAAAGAAAAGCAGCAGGUUAAUACCCCGCUGUUCUGACGGUACCCAAAGAAUAAGCACCGGCUAACUUCGUG
rnacentral:rRNA from 1 species